CGCGUAGGCGGAUCGUUAAGUCAGAGGUGAAAUCCCAGGGCUCAACCCUGGAACUGCCUUUGAUACUGGCGAUCUUGAGUAUGAGAGAGGUAUGUGGAACUCCGAGUGUAGAGGUGAAAUUCGUAGAUAUUCGGAAGAACACCAGUGGCGAAGGCGACAUACUGGCUCAUUACUGACGCUGAGGCGCGAAGCUGGGAGCAAACA
rnacentral:rRNA from 1 species